rnacentral:rRNA from 2 species
GGGUUGUGAGGUUAAGCGACUAAGCGUACACGGUGGAUGCCCUGGCAGUCAGAGGCGAUGAAGGACGUGCUAAUCUGCGAUAAGCGUCGGUAAGGUGAUAUGAACCGUUAUAACCGGCGAUUUCCGAAUGGGGAAACCCAGUGUGUUUCGACACACUAUCAUUAACUGAAUCCAUAGGUUAAUGAGGCGAACCGGGGGAACUGAAACAUCUAAGUACCCCGAGGAAAAGAAAUCAACCGAGAUUCCCCCAGUAGCGGCGAGCGAACGGGGAGCAGCCCAGAGCCUGAAUCAGUGUGUGUGUUAGUGGAAGCGUCUGGAAAGGCGCGCGAUACAGGGUGACAGCCCCGUACACAAAAAUGCACAUGCUGUGAGCUCGAUGAGUAGGGCGGGACACGUGGUAUCCUGUCUGAAUAUGGGGGGACCAUCCUCCAAGGCUAAAUACUCCUGACUGACCGAUAGUGAACCAGUACCGUGAGGGAAAGGCGAAAAGAACCCCGGCGAGGGGAGUGAAAAAGAACCUGAAACCGUGUACGUACAAGCAGUGGGAGCACGCUUAGGCGUGUGACUGCGUACCUUUUGUAUAAUGGGUCAGCGACUUAUAUUCUGUAGCAAGGUUAACCGAAUAGGGGAGCCGAAGGGAAACCGAGUCUUAACUGGGCGUUAAGUUGCAGGGUAUAGACCCGAAACCCGGUGAUCUAGCCAUGGGCAGGUUGAAGGUUGGGUAACACUAACUGGAGGACCGAACCGACUAAUGUUGAAAAAUUAGCGGAUGACUUGUGGCUGGGGGUGAAAGGCCAAUCAAACCGGGAGAUAGCUGGUUCUCCCCGAAAGCUAUUUAGGUAGCGCCUCGUGAAUUCAUCUCCGGGGGUAGAGCACUGUUUCGGCAAGGGGGUCAUCCCGACUUACCAACCCGAUGCAAACUGCGAAUACCGGAGAAUGUUAUCACGGGAGACACACGGCGGGUGCUAACGUCCGUCGUGAAGAGGGAAACAACCCAGACCGCCAGCUAAGGUCCCAAAGUCAUGGUUAAGUGGGAAACGAUGUGGGAAGGCCCAGACAGCCAGGAUGUUGGCUUAGAAGCAGCCAUCAUUUAAAGAAAGCGUAAUAGCUCACUGGUCGAGUCGGCCUGCGCGGAAGAUGUAACGGGGCUAAACCAUGCACCGAAGCUGCGGCAGCGACGCUGAUGCGUUGUUGGGUAGGGGAGCGUUCUGUAAGCCUGCGAAGGUGUGCUGUGAGGCAUGCUGGAGGUAUCAGAAGUGCGAAUGCUGACAUAAGUAACGAUAAAGCGGGUGAAAAGCCCGCUCGCCGGAAGACCAAGGGUUCCUGUCCAACGUUAAUCGGGGCAGGGUGAGUCGACCCCUAAGGCGAGGCCGAAAGGCGUAGUCGAUGGGAAACAGGUUAAUAUUCCUGUACUUGGUGUUACUGCGAAGGGGGGACGGAGAAGGCUAUGUUGGCCGGGCGACGGUUGUCCCGGUUUAAGCGUGUAGGCUGGUUUUCCAGGCAAAUCCGGAAAAUCAAGGCUGAGGCGUGAUGACGAGGCACUACGGUGCUGAAGCAACAAAUGCCCUGCUUCCAGGAAAAGCCUCUAAGCAUCAGGUAACAUCAAAUCGUACCCCAAACCGACACAGGUGGUCAGGUAGAGAAUACCAAGGCGCUUGAGAGAACUCGGGUGAAGGAACUAGGCAAAAUGGUGCCGUAACUUCGGGAGAAGGCACGCUGAUAUGUAGGUGAGGUCCCUCGCGGAUGGAGCUGAAAUCAGUCGAAGAUACCAGCUGGCUGCAACUGUUUAUUAAAAACACAGCACUGUGCAAACACGAAAGUGGACGUAUACGGUGUGACGCCUGCCCGGUGCCGGAAGGUUAAUUGAUGGGGUUAGCGCAAGCGAAGCUCUUGAUCGAAGCCCCGGUAAACGGCGGCCGUAACUAUAACGGUCCUAAGGUAGCGAAAUUCCUUGUCGGGUAAGUUCCGACCUGCACGAAUGGCGUAAUGAUGGCCAGGCUGUCUCCACCCGAGACUCAGUGAAAUUGAACUCGCUGUGAAGAUGCAGUGUACCCGCGGCAAGACGGAAAGACCCCGUGAACCUUUACUAUAGCUUGACACUGAACAUUGAGCCUUGAUGUGUAGGAUAGGUGGGAGGCUUAGAAGUGUGGACGCCAGUCUGCAUGGAGCCGACCUUGAAAUACCACCCUUUAAUGUUUGAUGUUCUAACGUUGACCCGUAAUCCGGGUUGCGGACAGUGUCUGGUGGGUAGUUUGACUGGGGCGGUCUCCUCCUAAAGAGUAACGGAGGAGCACGAAGGUUGGCUAAUCCUGGUCGGACAUCAGGAGGUUAGUGCAAUGGCAUAAGCCAGCUUGACUGCGAGCGUGACGGCGCGAGCAGGUGCGAAAGCAGGUCAUAGUGAUCCGGUGGUUCUGAAUGGAAGGGCCAUCGCUCAACGGAUAAAAGGUACUCCGGGGAUAACAGGCUGAUACCGCCCAAGAGUUCAUAUCGACGGCGGUGUUUGGCACCUCGAUGUCGGCUCAUCACAUCCUGGGGCUGAAGUAGGUCCCAAGGGUAUGGCUGUUCGCCAUUUAAAGUGGUACGCGAGCUGGGUUUAGAACGUCGUGAGACAGUUCGGUCCCUAUCUGCCGUGGGCGCUGGAGAACUGAGGGGGGCUGCUCCUAGUACGAGAGGACCGGAGUGGACGCAUCACUGGUGUUCGGGUUGUCAUGCCAAUGGCACUGCCCGGUAGCUAAAUGCGGAAGAGAUAAGUGCUGAAAGCAUCUAAGCACGAAACUUGCCCCGAGAUGAGUUCUCCCUGACUCCUUGAGAGUCCUGAAGGAACGUUGAAGACGACGACGUUGAUAGGCCGGGUGUGUAAGCGCAGCGAUGCGUUGAGCUAACCGGUACUAAUGAACCGUGAGGCUUAACCUUACAACGCCGAAG